GCUAAAUAAAGCCAUAUCUCAUCUACCUGCUGUCUCUCGAGUGUUCUUCUAGCUCCCUGCCCCCUAUCCACCCACUCCCCUCAGACCUCAGCUGGGGCUCGAACCUGACAAUUGGCAUAGUCAGCAGGAUGAGGUGAGUGGGUCUUCAUUCCUUGAGGCUUCCAGGUCAGCUCUGUGGCCACAGCACGGGCUGUGGUACCCAGUGGCAGAGGUGCUGCUUGGAUGGGCCCCAGUGGAAACAUAGGAGGCAGUGGACUGGUCUCCCACGAGUGUGGAGAAGGCACUGGAGCAGCUGGAAGCACACAGCUUCAAGAAGGAAUGCACUUUUGCCGGCAGAGUCGAUGGGCAUUUCUGACUGCACUGUGUGAAGUAUAUACUCAGUCCUUGCAGGACACAGUGCAGGUAAGGGAUCUUCAGACACAAGCUAAGUGCCUGGGGGCCAAAAUGCACAGCUUGUAGUACAGCCUGGGGAUGAAGGACUUCCAGGCUCAAGCAGGGUGCUUAGAGGCCCAGAUAAACAGCCUGGAACAGGAGUUAGCAACAGCUGUUAGUGCGACCUGAGCCCAUCCUCCCAGCCGGACACUCUCAUUGGGUCUGAUGCCGAGGAGGAGGAGGCUCUUCUGCUGCUGGCUUGCCCCAUGAUCCAUCAGAAGUAGAACGCAAGCAGCCAAUGGAGCCCCAGGGGAGAGCCCAGGGACUCCCACAGUGGUGGAACACACCUCUUAUAGUGCUUAUAACCCCACUGAGUUGUGUGAGUUAGGUAAACGCGCCGGCAGCCCCUCCCUGCCUGGUUACUCCAUCUUUGGGACAAAGGAACUGACAACAUUCCCUGCUCCACCUCUGAUAGAGAAGCUGGCUUCUAUCACAACUCACCCCUCCCUUCAUUAGUGGCUGCAGCUGUGCCAAUGGUCAGCACAGGGACAAGAUGACCACACUUUAAUUGAGUGGCUAAUGGGAGCCACAUGGACUGUUUGGAAUGAUGCCAGAGAAAUACCAGAAACUGACAUUUUGGAGGCCUGCCAGAAGUGCCCAGCAUGUGCUCAAGCAUACCUGAGACAAAGACAACUGCCCAAUGUGACACAACAAGUGACAGUAGGGCAGAUGCCCUUGACCAGAUGGCAAAUAGAUUACGCUGAGCCACUGCCAAAAUUGCAGGGCUACACAUAUGCGCUGAUGGCUGCAGACAUAGCCACCGGCUUGUUGCUCAUCUACCCUUGCAGGUUGGCCAACCAGCAACACAGCAUUCGAGCCCUGCAACACUUAAGUGCCUUAUAUGGCCUUCCUCUGGCCAUCAAAAGUGAUAGGGGAACACAUUUUACUGGACAUCAAAUACGACAGUGAGCACAGCAGAUGGACAUACAAUGGGAGUUCCAUGUUCCUUAUAACCCACAAGCCGCUGGCAUGAUUGAGCAAUAUAACAGACUCCUGAAGAACAGGUUAUGUUUGCAUGUUACUUCCCCAUCCUUGGGGGCUGGAGUUCCAGGUUGGACCUGGUGCUUCAAAUCUUGAAUAAGUGGCCACAGAAAGGCAGCCCAGCCCCGGUGGAGGCACUGUUACACCAGCCCGCUGCCCCCAUCCUGCUACAGAUACACACCAAGAAUGACCUCCUCCGACCAGCUGUAGGUUGGCAUGCUCCAACAACAUCAUGGACUGGGCCCACACCUACACCGAGUUGACCAAUGUCUCCAACUGUUGGAUCUGCACCGCCCUUCCAGCAGCAGCUGCAGACAGCUUGCCCUGGCUUGUGCAUCCAGCUUCUGUGCAGAACCGGACAUUGCUAAAGACUUGGGGUCCCACGGACAAUGGGUGGGAUGCAACAUGGAGGCUUUGGAUAGGGGGUGUCACAAAACCCAUGGCAAGCUUGCCCCCUGGCUGACUCAUAACGUCCAUGAGGGCUGGCUAAUGGGAGAACACAUGGUGCCCCCAUUGCAGGUAUCACGAUGUAUAGAGCAACACUGGGGUAAAGUCAUUCUGGGAUGGCUGCUGGCUGAGGCCUGUGCAAAUGUAACACAUGCCACACACCUUGCCAAGACCAGGCCCCCAUGGACUUUGUAGCCCCUGGGAGUUUAUGGGUCUGUGAGAACACAGGAUGGCCAUAUCAUGCCAGCCAACUGGACUGGACGUUGUACCUGGGGGUGACCUUAUAUGCCUGCCACUGUGCUCCCACAUUGCCUAGUUGCCCGCAUAAGUGGGAGGUGCUGCGUUUCUGCUUUUUGUGAGUGUGGCGGGCCCCCUGGUGGUUCUAUCGCUUAGCAAUAACUAUCCCUGGGGUAAGUGUCAUCACUGUAGAAAUGUAGGUUACAGCCUUUGCAGAGCACGCAGCUUGGGCCCUAAAUUACACCUGAAUUGCCCUCCUUUUGCUAACCGAUGAAGUUAAUCAGAUCAGGAAAGUGGUGCUGCCAAACCGGAUUGCCUUAGACAUAGUUACAGCUGCCUAAGGUAGCAUCUGUGCCCUUGUAGGGACGCAAUGUUGUACAUUCAUCCCUGACAACCACCAGAACAUAACGACAGCUUUACAAGUGGUGUCACGGGAGAUUAAGGUGAUUGAGAGCCUUACUGACCACCCCCUGCAGAGAUAGUAUGCAUCUCUGAGCUCUGGUCUAAGUUGGGCUCUCAUAAUCAUAGAUAGCAUAGCAGGAAUGUUAGUAGUAGGUUGUUGCUCUCUGUGUUGUGGCCUAUAAGUCCAGGGUGCUUCCCUAUGUGCUCAGGUCCCCACUAAGAGGAUCCUCUCGGCCUAGGGAGUGGAGCAUAGGGAACAUGGCUGCACUGCAGCCAAGCAGUCAUAGGCCGAGGUAAACAUCCUGCAUGGCUCAGCGGGAUUGGAGCAAAGGUGCACAUUCCCAUGCCUUAUAUAAUCACAGCUAUGUAGAUAUAACUUAGAGAUGCUCAUGACCUGGCUCUCGGCCACUACUGUUUGUGAGGUGUAUAAAUGUAACACUGACACUGUGAAAGAGCUGCUGAAUAAAGCCAUGUCUCAUCUA